rnacentral:sRNA from 1 species
GCUAAAUAAAUAGGAUCCAUGGAUAUAAUAGUUUUUAAUAAUAAAUACGGACUACAAGUAACAAUUAAGUUAAGUACUUUGUUGUGUGUGUGUGUGUGUGUGUGUGUGUGUGUGUUUGUGUGUGAAUAGGUUAGGGAAUACGGGCCAUGGCCAUGGCA